AAGGGAUGAAUUUUCUUUGCCUUGUUGUUCCCUUCCGUCCCUCAACGGGUUGGAUGAUACCCACCCACACUGGGAAGAGAAAACUGCUUCACUUCAUCCACCAAUUCAAAUGCUAAUUUCAUUCAAAAGCAUCUUCACAGAUAACACUCAGAAAUGACGUUUAGCCAAAUGUCUGAGCAUCCCAUAAUCCAGUCGAGUUGACGUAUAAAAUUAACCAUCACGCCAACUUUCAGUGAACUGAAAAAAGAGUCAACUCAUUUUGUGUGUGGGUUUUGUGAUUCAUAUAAAAAACCCUAGUUAAGAAGGGUGUGGAAGGAAAACCAGAUUCAGAGCCCCGAUGAGCAUCAGUGAUACUCUUGAAGAGCUCCCAGCGCUGUGUGUGAUAUGGACCUGCUAACCAAUAAGGUUAACAACGUGAUAGGCAGAGCAUCUGUUAGUACCUUCUAUCCCUCGGGAAGAUUUCUGAAAGACUACAAUGAAUAAAGUGGAGAAAAUUGGAAAUUUAUGGAAACCCCAAAACUAUUCCAAGAAUGAUGAAAAUUACUUUGUAAAGCUCGGUACUGGAUUGGAUCUCAUAAUAGGCUUCAUUUUAAGGGAGAGAGAGAAAAGAAGGACAUCAAGAUGUGUCCUCUACAUUUGUCUACAUAGCCCAUCCCAUGCUUGUGGCUGCUGAUGAC